CAAGAGCGUAUGUAAAAGUUGUUGCAGUUAAAAAGCUCGUAGUUGAACCUUGGGUUUGGUUGGCCGGUCCGCUUUUUUGCGAGUACUGGAUUCAACCGAGCCUUUCCUUCUGGCUAACCAGUCGUUUCGGCGGCUGGCGAACCAGGAUUUUUACUUUGAGAAAAUUAGAGUGUUCAAAGCAGGCAUUAGCUUGAAUAUAUUAGCAUGGAAUAAUAGAAUAGGACGUUAUGGUUCUAUUUUGUUGGUUUCUAGGACCAUCGUAAUGAUUAAUAGGGACGGUCGGGGGCAUCAGUAUUCAGUUGUCAGAGGUGAAAUUCUUGGAUUUACUGAAGACUAACUACUGCGAAAGCGUUUGCCAAGGACGUUUUCAUUAA
rnacentral:rRNA from 1 species